rnacentral:rRNA from 1 species
GACGAACGCUGGCGGCGUGCUUAACACAUGCAAGUCGAACGGAAAGGCCCUGCUUUUGUGGGGUGCUCGAGUGGCGAACGGGUGAGUAACACGUGAGUAACCUGCCCUUGACUUUGGGAUAACUUCAGGAAACUGGGGCUAAUACCGGAUAGGAGCUCCUGCUGCAUGGUGGGGGUUGGAAAGUUUCGGCGGUUGGGGAUGGACUCGCGGCUUAUCAGCUUGUUGGUGGGGUAGUGGCUUACCAAGGCUUUGACGGGUAGCCGGCCUGAGAGGGUGACCGGCCACAUUGGGACUGAGAUACGGCCCAGACUCCUACGGGAGGCAGCAGUGGGGAAUAUUGCACAAUGGGCGGAAGCCUGAUGCAGCAACGCCGCGUGCGGGAUGACGGCCUUCGGGUUGUAAACCGCUUUCGCCUGUGACGAAGCGUGAGUGACGGUAAUGGGUAAAGAAGCACCGGCUAACUACGUGCCAGCAGCCGCGGUGAUACGUAGGGUGCGAGCGUUGUCCGGAUUUAUUGGGCGUAAAGGGCUCGUAGGUGGUUGAUCGCGUCGGAAGUGUAAUCUUGGGGCUUAACCCUGAGCGUGCUUUCGAUACGGGUUGACUUGAGGAAGGUAGGGGAGAAUGGAAUUCCUGGUGGAGCGGUGGAAUGCGCAGAUAUCAGGAGGAACACCAGUGGCGAAGGCGGUUCUCUGGGCCUUUCCUGACGCUGAGGAGCGAAAGCGUGGGGAGCGAACAGGCUUAGAUACCCUGGUAGUCCACGCUGUAAACGGUGGGUACUAGGUGUGGGGUCCAUUCCACGGGUUCCGUGCCGUAGCUAACGCUUUAAGUACCCCGCCUGGGGAGUACGGCCGCAAGGCUAAAACUCAAAGGAAUUGACGGGGCCCCGCACAAGCGGCGGAGCAUGCGGAUUAAUUCGAUGCAACGCGUAGAACCUUACCUGGGUUUGACAUGGAUCGGGAGUGCUCAGAGAUGGGUGUGCCUCUUUUGGGGUCGGUUCACAGGUGGUGCAUGGCUGUCGUCAGCUCGUGUCGUGAGAUGUUGGGUUAAGUCCCGCAAUGAGCGCAACCCUUGUUCACUGUUGCCAGCACGUUAUGGUGGGGACUCAGUGGAGACCGCCGGGGUCAACUCGGAGGAAGGUGGGGAUGACGUCAAGUCAUCAUGCCCCUUAUGUCCAGGGCUUCACGCAUGCUACAAUGGCUGGUACAGAGAGUGGCGAGCCUGUGAGGGUGAGCGAAUCUCGGAAAGCCGGUCUCAGUUCGGAUUGGGGUCUGCAACUCGACCUCAUGAAGUCGGAGUCGCUAGUAAUCGCAGAUCAGCAACGCUGCGGUGAAUACGUUCCCGGGGCUUGUACACACCGCCCGUCAAGUCAUGAAAGUUGGUAACACCCGAAGCCGGUGGCCUAACCGUUGUGGGGGAGCCGUCGAAGG